CCACCGUUCCUCUUGUAUACGCACACGUUCGUUCUCUCGUUUCCGAAUAAUGACAUAUUCGAUUCAACAAGCUAAACGUUUCUAUUAUCGACUGGGUAGUCCCGCUGCGCAGCAAAGGCCCACUGCGGGCACAGGGUGUCCUAAUGUCGGAAUUAUUAAUGACACUCCGAGUGUAUGUUUGCCAACUUCACCUGGCCUACCACCGGGUGUUACAAUAAUUUUCUGC